AUGUGUUCCCCGUCUAACCUACGUUCUUCCGUAGGUGGGGGUCACUUUUGAGUAUACCCCUCGUCUAACACUACGUUUCCGUAGGUGAGGUUCACUCUUUGCCGAUGUGUUCCCCGUCUAACCUACGUCCUUCCGUAGGUGGGGUUCACUUUUGAGUACAUCCCUCGUCUAACACUACGUUUCCGUAGGUGAGGUUCACUCUUGCUGAUGUGUUCCCCGUCUAACCUACGUUCUUCCGUAGGUGGGGUUCACUUUUGAGUACAUCCCUCGUCUAACACUACGUUUCCGUAGGUGAGGUUCACUCUUUACUUUGGAUGGGAUACGCAUCCUGACUCUGUUACCAUUAAGACUUUCUCUAUCCGCGUUCUUCCGCAGGUAGAGUUAAUUUGGCGUCCUACUUUGUUA
rnacentral:lncRNA from 1 species